rnacentral:rRNA from 1 species
CCUACGGGUGGCAGCAGUGGGGAAUAUUGGGCAAUGGCGGAAACUCUGACCCAGCAACGCCGCGUGAAUGAUGAAGGUCUUCGGAUUGUAAAGUUCUUUUCUAAGGGAAGAAGAAAGUGACGGUACCUUAGGAAUAAGCCUCGGCUAACUACGUGCCAGCAGCCGCGGUAAUACGUAGGAGGCGAGCGUUAUCCGGAAUGACUGGGCGUAAAGGGUGCGUAGGUGGGUUGGCAAGUUAGUAGCGUAACUCCAAGGCUCAACCUUGGAACUACUACUAAAACUGUAAGACUUGAGUGCAGUAGAGGUUAGUGGAAUUCCUAGUGUAGCGGUGGAAUGCGUAGAUAUUAGGAGGAACACCAGAGGCGAAGGCGGCUAACUGGACUGCAACUGACGCUGAGGCACGAAAGUGUGGGGAGCAAACAGGAUUAGAUACCCGAGUAGUC